rnacentral:rRNA from 1 species
GACAGAGGAUGCAAGCGUUAUCCGGAAUGAUUGGGCGUAAGCGUCUGUAGGUGGCUUUUUAAGUCCGCCGUCAAAUCCCAGGGCUCAACCCUGGACAGGCGGUGGAAACUACCAAGCUGGAGUACGGUAGGGCAGAGGGAAUUUCCGGUGAGCGUGAAAUGCGUAGAGAUCGAAAGAACACCAACGGCGAAGCACUCUGCUGGCCGACACUGACACUGAGAGACGAAAGCUAGGGGAGCGAAUGGG